CUAACAUGUAUGCAACCAUGUAGGUGGCAAAUCUUUUGAUGUGCAAAUAAAUUGAUAGAUAGAAUCUUCCUAAAAAAAUACAAUAUCAAGUGGCCUUGAUCAUUUGUGAAAGAUUUGAAUGUGUACAAACUUAUUGGGACCUAAAAGAUAGUGAAAUAUACUUGAGUAAGGCAAAGCAAGAAGAAACUUUGGUGGAGGCUUGUAUCAACAUUAAUCUGUAAAUUGUUUGUUAGACUUGGUUAGAGGAGCAAAAGACUAAUCAAACCAUCUAGUAAUUGG
rnacentral:ncRNA from 1 species